rnacentral:snoRNA from 1 species
GCACGUUUGCCAACACUCUGGUGCUGAGCCUUCAAUGCGCAGUUCCUAUUUUGGUGCAAACAAGAUUGACGGAAACAUACUCACCAUGGAUACUGGUAUUUACAGUAUCUGCGGUCCAUUUCAGGUUCCUACAU